rnacentral:rRNA from 1 species
UACGGAGGAUGUAAGGGUUAUCCGGCAUUAUUGGGCGUAAAGCGGCCGCAGGUGGUCUUCCAAGUCUGCUGUCAAAGACCGGAGCACAACUCUGGGCAGGCGGUGGAAACUGGAAAACUAGCGUACGGUAGGGGUAGAGGGAAGUACCAGUGUAGCGGUGAGAAGCGUAGAGCUUGCGAAGACCUCCAGUGGCGUAGGCGCUCUGCUGGACCGUAACUGACGCUCAGGGACGAAAGCUAGGGGAGCUAAAGGG